CGCCGGUCCCCUCACACUGCCGAGCCGUGAACCCGGUCAGGCCCGGAAGGGAGCAGCCGUAGCGGUGCAGGUAGGUGCCGGGGUGUGGCUGGUGCGG
rnacentral:SRP_RNA from 1 species